rfam:Canis lupus familiaris chromosome 15, whole genome shotgun sequence.
AGCUUUGCGCAGUGGCAGUAUCGUAGCCAAUGAGGUUUAUCCGAGGCGCGAUUAUUGCUAAUUGAAAACUUAAAAUUCUAUUUUAAGUGGUACCUUUUUAGAAAUUUUUCUUUUUUUUUUUUUUUAAGA